GACCAACUGUGCUGGUUUGCCUGGGACUAAGGGGGCUCCUGGGACAAGCAAAUCUUGUGUGAGGGGCAUGAUUCAAUCAU
rnacentral:miRNA from 1 species